GCAUUUCCAAAGAGUAUCAAGAGGCGAUAGGAGCAAUUAAAGAUGGUACAGGCUGUGCCCCACUCAUUGUUGUUACUUCUAAAAGAGAAGUCGAAGGUGAAGAGAACGAAAUGCACUCGCAUCUCACAGGAAUAGGUUCCUCACGGGCUUUGUUCAUUGAUAAUUAUCUGAUAGAUGAUGAAGGAGAAGGUCCCACGGAUGACGAUGUUGACUUCACAAAGCACCUCGCCCUGUGUAAAGUCCUUCAAGCUAUCCAGUGUGACUACGAC